UCAGAUCUACUGUUUGAGUUUCUUGAUCAUUGAAGGUUACAUCACUCUGCAAAGGACAACUUAGAAUGCUUAUUGUUAUCUCAAGCAUAAAUGGAGAACCAUUGUCGAUCAAUGUCAGGAUAAAUGGAUAAAUCACGGGGCCAAUCUUUUGCAGCAACUUUGAGUUUGAGACUCUGCAAUCGGACCAACUGGACGUAUUGAGAUGAAAUCAGUUUAUAGUUGAGAAACAAAAGAAAAGGAACCAAGGAACCAGUAGGAGCGGAGAGAUUUCAGAAAAAAGGGAGUCUUUAUCAAAAUUGCAUCUAGUCUGGUCGAAUUAUUUUUUAUUGAAUACAUCAUGGAAGCAGCUCCUGUCCCUUGGCAAUCAAUAUUUUGAUCACUUAUUUGUAACUUGUAAGUAAGUAUUCUUGUUCAAUGUAUUGCGAUUGGUUGUAGAAUUACAAGUGUUAUCUGAGCAAUACUGGGCUUAAUAUCAUAACAUGAUGGCUAUUGUGAGGUAAAUGUUGAAGAAAGGAUUGGAAGAGUUAUAUAAACGUGCCUCCAAAACAGAGGCUGGAGCUAUGAUUAGGAAAAUGAGAUUCUAUUGCAACUUUGCAAGGCCUACCUAUUUCUCUUAUCCACACAUGGAAAUGUUCUUCACUUCCACUUUCCUUGCACAUCACACCAGAUUGGUAUUGGUUCAGAUGGAUUCAUGAUGCCAAUGGCAAUGCUAUGCCAACCACACUAAUCACGAGGCGGUCAAUAAGUUGUAUCAUUCACAUGUUUCCAUUUACUUAAUUACCUCCUAACUCUCAUCAGUUUUUUUCAGGUUUUGUUCUUCAGAACAUAAUCUCAGUUCUUGUGUUUCUAUCUCCAAUGAAGACAUUUGCUCGGAUUUUGAAACGUAAGACGACAGAGGAAUUCGAGAGCCUUCCGUACAUUUGUACACUGCUGAAUUCAUCUCUGUUGACAUACUACGGGAUCAUUAAACCCGAUGCUUACUUGGUAGCGACUGUCAAUGGCUUCGGAGUGGUUGUGGAGCUCAUAUACGUUGCUUUGUUCUUUUAUUUUGCUUCUCUUCCAUCCAUAAAGAUACUAUAUUACUAACCUCAUUUUCAAUUUUUCAUUCAUUAUUGAUGCAUUCAAUUAAUUACCCAAGUAUAAUAUAUAU